rnacentral:misc_RNA from 1 species
GGUUUGGAAGUAGAUUGAAUACAUGCUGUGAAUGGUACAAAUAUGUGAUAUUUUAGAAAGAUAAACGUUGGGGUAUCUUUAAAAUACUCUGUAUAUAAUUGAUAUUUUAGAGAUCCUAAUAGCCUUAAAUUGGGUAUGAUAUUGAUAGGUUAAAUCAAUUUAAUUUAUUUAUAUGGUUUAUAAGGUUAGGAAAAAAAAUAAUUAAUUACAAAUAUGUGCCAAUAAAAAUAAUAAUGUGUGGGUUUUAGAGCAUCUCAUUUGAUAAUUAUGAGUAGUUGUGCGGGUAACUCAAGGGCUGUGUAACUUGCAGCCACCAGAAGACAUAUUUUCCUUUGGAAAGAUCGUAAUUUGGUUUGACCGUGAAUUUGGAGAAGGGGACAGGACAUAGAACUUGUUACUCAGUGCCUGAACAUGGGUGCUGAUAGAAAAGUGAUGAAUUGUUCGACAAUUCACGUGCUAAAUGGGCAAUGUCUUCACUAAUAAAAUGAGAGAUAUAAAUCAGACCAUGCACACUUGUAUUAAUAAAUCAAAGGGUAAAUGGUGGGGACAAGUUCCCACAAAUGAAAUGAGCUUGGAGAACCACAAAAUUUCUCUAAGAAAGCUUAAUGUAAAUUACUGAAAAAAAAAAUAAAAGUAAUAAAAAUAAAAAUUCGUAAAUGAUUUUCUAGAAUUAGAAUUGAGCUCAAGCUCCUAUAGCAUUACAUUUUAAAGUCAUUAACGAUGCAGAAUUAAGAACUAUGUGGACCUGAUCCUCCAUGUUAAAAUGAAGUUACAUAGGCAGCCUUCGAGCACGGUUCAAAGUAGGUAAAAUUUUGUUCUUUUUGUUUUCAAUGUCCCAUUUUUCCAGUUUCUUAAAAAUUUGGAUCCAAAAUAAUAUUUGUAAAUAUGAUGUCUUAAUAUAUACAUUGGUUUAUUAAUAUAUUUAAUUAGUAAAAAAAAAAUUAUGUUUAUAUGCGGUAUUUAUAGAUAGUUGAUUAGUUAUUUAUAUUAUAGAAAACUAUAGUUUAGUUUCAGGUUUCUCAUGUUUUAAUUAGGAGAAUGGGUGUGACAACUAGUGUCUUGUUUAGGAGCUUACCUAAAUUAUGUUUGCUAAAAAUAGGAAAAAUUUAUGUAUUUAAAUAUAAAAAUAAUAUGAGCCUUAUUUCUUCAAGGGCAAGUGAAAUAUAAUUAAAAUUUUAUUCUUGAAUAUUGCUUUGUGAUUUUCUUUUUGGCUGUAUAUACGAAAUUCUAGUCAAUUGAAUUAUAUAUGAAAUUCUUGAGAGUGGAGUUGUUAUAGUUGGUUUGUAUGUAAUCAUUCUGGAUUUGGAGUCAAAUAUCUAUUUUAUUAUUAUUAAAUCAACUUUGGCUGUGAGGUUGGAAUUGAGGUUGAUUAAUAACACACUACCAUAUUCAUAAUUUGGAAAUUAUGAAGUGGUAGGUUGAAUCAUAUGCUAAUAUUUAAGGUAUUCUUUGUGAUUCUAAAGGGGAAAAUAAAAUAAAAUGAGUUAAAAGGAUGGAUUUUAUUUAUGUAUUAUUAUUAGUAUUAUGACGAUGGUGAUGAUGAUGAUGAGGAAUUCACUCCAGAUGAAGAAGAUGAUUUUCUGGAUGAGGAUGAAGAAUUGACAGCAAAAAAGAAGAUUAAUAACAUGAAAGUGGGUAAGAGGAGGAUUGAGAAAAGGGGCUCCAGGCGUGGUCCAAAAAAGCAGAGGAAAUCCAGGGUUUCAAAGAAGCCUUCAGGAAAGAAAGGAAGAAACAAUCGUAGGUUGAGGAAGAAAGAAAGGUGUGAAUACGAUGAUGAAUAUGAUGUUGAUUUUAUAGAUGAUAGUGCAAUUGUAAGAGAAAAGAGCAGGGAAAAUUCAGAUGUGAGGAGGAGGAGAGACACUGUAUAUUCAGAUUCAGAUUUUAUGCCUUCUGGAUCAUCUGAUUAUGAGUUUACAAUCUCGGAGGAAGAGAGAGAGCAGGUAAGGGAAGCCAGCUACUUGUAUGGUGAACUAAAGACGAGUUUGAGGUGCUCUUCGUCUAUAAAGAAAAUUCAGGAGAUUGGGGUUUUAUGUGAACAAGGAAAACCCAUUGCAAGAAAAGGCAAGGAGAAGGUAAAGGAAGUAAGAACAGAUGUUGGAAAGCAGGUGUGCGGAAUUUGCCUCUCAGAAGAGGAUAAAAGGAAAUUGCGGGGGACGCUGGACUGCUGUGGUCACUAUUUCUGCUUCACUUGCAUCAUGGAGUGGUCAAAAAUAGAGUCACGUUGCCCUUUGUGCAAGCAGAGGUUUAAGACAAUAACUAAGAAUGGAAGAACAGCUGUGGGAGUUGAUCUGAGAAAUGUGGUAAUAGAAGUGCCCGAACGUGAUCAGGUCUAUCAACCAUCAGAGGAAGAAAUAAGGAACUUUAUUGAUCCAUAUGAGAAUGUGAUUUGUACAGAAUGCCGUGAAGGUGGGGACGAUGGCCUCAUGUUACUUUGUGAUCUCUGUGAUUCACCUGCACAUACCUAUUGUGUUGGUCUUGGGCGGCAAGUACCUGAAGGCAAUUGGUAUUGUGAUGGCUGUCGACCUGUUGCUGUUGGAUCCUCAAGCUCCCAAGCUCAGGAAUCUUUGCCUGGUCAAAGGACAACAAGCAACAUGUUUAAUAGGCCAUCUCCUGUUGCAAAUAAUGGAGAAGGUUUAGACCCCACUUUAGAGCCUUCACCUCGUUUUGCAUUCUCUCAAGGAGUUGGAAAUUUGUCAUCUCCCAGAUUUUCCUCUGGGGAUGUUCAGGCGGCUUCUCCAGUAUCUGGAGCAGGGGCGCCAACUCUGUCAGUGAGACGUCAGAUACACCGCCAUAUACAAAAUCUCCUUUCUAUUAGCAGAAUGAAUAAUAUGGCUGUCAGAGCUGAUGGCAUUUCAGCUGCCAACUUGCAUAGUGACCCUUCAAAUCCUCAAAUUGAUCAAUGUAGGGAAACCACUAUUCAAAAUUCAAGGACACAAGAAUUAGGGUCGUGGCAAAGUACAUUCCUGGAUGUGAGAUUACAAGACCAUCCCUCUUCUUCAUUGCAAAAUGGAGAUCUUUUUUCUAUUAGAUCAAGCCAAUUGAGAACGCAAGCGGUUCAGGAUCCUUCUGUUACAACUACUGAGAGGUCUGUCAGUUUAACAUUAUGGCCUGAACUCACUGGGAUCAACUCUAUAUCUGGCUAUGAGCAAUUCCAUCAGUGCAACAGCAGACUGGGCAUUGCAUCUGAAAUUAAUUUGGCACCUCACAAAGCUAGAGAAGAGAGUCAAUUCUAUGUGGUAAAGGAACAAUUGCAAUCAAUGGUUAAAAGCCACUUGAAAAGCUUGUCUCAGGACAUUGAAUUAGGUAUCUUAUCUGAAACUUGAAUCAUUUUGUUAACCAUGUGAUUUCUAUUUCCUCUUCAUUAUACUUGUAGUUCUCUUGAUGUGUUAAGCUAUGAGAAUUCAUAUCAUCAAGAUUUGGAUUGGUCUUUGCAGACAAUCUUGAUAAGUUUCAUGAAUUCUUAGUAGUGAGUGGCCUUCUGUUUGGAUGCAUUGUGGGUGUGUUUGCUGUUUACCAUGUACCAGAAAUGCUCGAAUUGUGUUAUUUCUUCUGCUGCAGGCCCUGAUACUUUCAAGGAAAUUGCAAGGAGUUCUACGCAUACCAUCUUAGCUGGUUGUGGUCUUGAGCACAAGAGGAGUGAAGUCCAAUUUAUGCCCCCACCAUCAAUUUGCACCCAUGGUGAGAGGAUGGCUGCUGGACAGACAAGUAUGAUGAAAGGUUUUUGCUCAUCUUGUUUUGAUUCUUUUGUAAGGGACGUAGUGAAGAGGAUCAUGGACACAAGACUGCCACAGUGGUUAAGUUUAGGUCUUUAAUCUUUGACGAAGGAGUGUUUUUUUGGCGCUCUCUUUUUCGUUAGGAGUUUAGGCAAACAUUUAUC